rnacentral:lncRNA from 1 species
ACACACAGCUAGCUCUUCAGGCCAGGCCCCCAGGGUUUCGUCCACCUCUCACCUUUGACGACGCGGUCAGCCCCGGGAGGGGGCGGCGGGGGCGGGGGUGGGGGCGGUGCAGCCCGGGCCGGCUCCGGGGCGGCCAUGCUGGGCCCGGGGCUCGGCUAGGCUCUGGGCCGGGCGGGGUUGGGGGCGGGGGCGGCGGCUACCAGAGCCAAGCGGCGGCGCCGCCGGGGAACAUGGCGGACCCUCUUUCCCUACAGAGGGGCUAAGACCGGCAUGCACUGCGCGUGCGGGGGUGGGGGCGGGGUAGGCUCUAGGGACUUGGGCAAAAUUACUGAAGCUAGGAGAGAAACAGGACGAGGCCAAGGGAUCAGGUUAAAAUUCUUUGCAUGCAGAAUGAAGAAUGAGGAGGUGCUGCGAUCGAACGACUGCGAGGAAACACACCCGCUCUCAUGGCAUUCCCAGUAAACUGAGAAGACGUGAUUAAACCUCAGGAUCUCCUACUAAUAGAGAAAUGUAUAACGAUUUAGCUACCAGAUCUGAAUACUGAAGGGUUGGUAGGGGACCAGAGAAUAGAGGAAGCAUUGUAGGUUCUAGAGUGGAGAAGGGACCAUCCAAAAUGGAGUUUGAAAGAGAAUUCUGGCCUUUGUGUUUAGAGUCUGGAAUUGUCAAGAGUCUGAAAGCACAGAAUAAGACUGCAGCUAGAGCAAUUUAGGCGCCAUAGUUUGUCAAAACAGGUAAGGGGAAUAAAGGGGAUGACACCAAGAGAUGUGCAAAGAAUCUGAAGAAUUCACCUGAAAAGGAUACAACCUCCUCCUGGAAGGCAGAGGAGUAAAUAGGGAAUUGGAAAUUAAUUCCUUAUUUCUGCACAUGCACAGAAUCUGGGCCCAGGUGACUUAUGGAACCUUUAUAGAGACCACGGUGACUGACACUCAUGGGAAAGGGGGUAGAGGGGCAAGAACUGACUGUUCAUCAAAAAUUAUUAGAUGAGUGUGUCCACGACACCAGGAGAUAUGUUGAAUCAUGGACAGGGACCAGCAUAUCCACUAAGCUCUAUAUAUCUUGAUGGUGCAGGAUCCAAGUGGGAUGGAACAACCAAUUCCUGCCCAUCCUCCUGCUCAAUAAUACAUGUGCUCAGAAUCUGUUCAUAAUGCAUGGUGGUAAGUAAGUAGUAGUCCGAAGGUCCAAGGAGUACCUUUCUACCUCUUCUUUGUGUCAAUUUCUAUCCUGAGACCCCAGGAAAAGAGGAAGGGAAAGACCCAACAAUGGAUUUUUUCCAAAAAGGGAACCCACAAGCUAUUUUUUAGAGGGAAGAGUCUCGGGAGUGAGGCACAGGUGAAAAUGGAUCUUUCUGGCAUGGAAGGGCCAUAACACCACAGGGGAAGGGAAAGGGAGAGGCCCCCACGGAAGGAGAGGAAGGAAGGGACAGGAGGCACGUCACAAACUUAUAAGAUAGAGGGAAGGCACCUGGAGUACAUUGAUCAGGAGUGAGUCUGUAAGAAGAGCUUGAAUCCCCAGAAAAUCUUCCUAAGGAGGGGAGGAAGGAAGUGUAUAAUGUACUGAGUACUGAAUGCUCUGUCAGGAAAGGGAUGGGAAACAUCCUAGCAGCAAUACUAGAAAGGAAAGGCACCCUAUUUUAGGACCCAUUGAUUCCCACCUUGAUUGUAUAUCCUUCAACUCGUCUCUGGCUCCUCACUUCCACUCAGUCAAAAGCCACUUCAUAUAUUUAUCCAGACUUCCAGCCCCAAUACAAAGAAAGCAAGAGCAUACAAAGGGAAGAAUGACAAGGAAUUAAAUAGAACUGUCUUAUAGAUUUAUUAAUGAAAAAUACUUUACAAAAACAGUAUGUUUGGCCUAAAAUAGUUCAGCUGACUCUGAGGGUUUACAUUGACGACUGAGCAAGUGGCAAUAAUGGCUGUGUUAUUGAGGACAGAAGGCUGUGUUAGUGUGCCUGACUCCAUCUGUUCAAAAGGGUGAAUGUUAUGUUGGCAGCUCCGCAUUCUAGGCCUAAGGUUUGGAGGGCACAGGGAAUGCUGACAGGCCAUAAUACCUGGGCAGGGGGGCUGCCCUGAUGAUGUCAUCAGAACCAUGACCACAGGGCUACAUGUCCCCCCAAGGAUGGGAGACAGGGAAGACAAAGGGUCAGGUAAUAGGGAUAGGUGGAUAAAACAAAGAGUAGAAGUUGGGAGUAUAGUAGGGAACAGAGGAUGAGGGCUCAGGUGGAGGUGGGGACAUAAAGCAUCCAGGAAUAAAAUGUGACCUUAAAAUCCUAAGGAAUGGCUAGUAUCCAGAGUAAUACCAUGGAUUCAUCUUUAAAGUGGCUCAGAUAAAACCCUUAAACAGCAGCUGCUUCCUUUUGCUAGGGGGAAUGGAAGUUGGAAUUUCAAAUAUCCCCUCCCAAAGAAUCACAUCUUUUUAGAGGUUCCUGACACCCUUAGGAGAACCCACCAAUUCUAUGUUGAGAUGAGAAUAGCACAACCAUGGCAGUGAUGCAGGGUACCAACGCUGCCACAGUAGUUUAUUUUGUUGUUGUUUUGUUUUGUUUUUUGAGAUGGAGUCUCACUCUAUUGCCAAGCUGGAGUGCAGUGGUGCGAUCUCGGCUCACUGCAACCUCUGCCUCCCGGGUUCAAGCAAUUCUCCUGCCUCAGCCUUCCGAGUAGUUGGGACUACAGGCACGCACCGUCACGCCUGGCUAAUUUUUUGUAUUUUGGUAGAGACGGGGUUUCACCAUGUUGGCCAGGAUGGUCUCAAUCUCCUGACCUCGUGAUCCACCCGCCUCAGCCUCCCAAAGUGCUGGGAUUACAGGUGUGAGCCACCGCGCCCGGCCCACAGUACAGUUUUACAAAGAAAGGUGUAGCUCCAGGAAAGGAAAGGAAUAACCUUUACCAUUGACUGUGCUGCAGGACUCUAGCCCUGAUCUGCUCUCUUCUGGGAGCAUCUGAUAGAACAAACAGAAACCCCUCUCCCACUGUUCUCCUGUGUCCAGAGUGGGAGGCAUAACUGCUUUGCCUCCAGUCAUCAUCUGGGGGCAUAUCUACUCUUCGAGGACCAGGGGUUCGGGACCCUGGAACAGGAUCUGAAUUCCAAGCUGACCUCAGGGGUACAUGAAGACUGCUAGAUGAGACGGGAUCU